rnacentral:rRNA from 1 species
GAUGAACGCUGGCGGCGUGCCUAAUACAUACAAGUCGAGCGAACGGACGAGAAGCUUGCUUCUCUGAUGUUAGCGGCGGACGGGUGAGUAACACGUGGAUAACCUACCUAUAAGACUGGGAUAACUUCGGGAAACCGGAGCUAAUACCGGAUAAUAUUUUGAACCGCAUGGUUCAAAAGUGAAAGACGGUCUUGCUGUCACUUAUAGAUGGAUCCGCGCUGCAUUAGCUAGUUGGUAAGGUAGCGGCUUACCAAGGCAACGAUGCAUAGCCGACCUGAGAGGGUGAUCGGCCACACUGGAACUGAGACACGGUCCAGACUCCUACGGGAGGCAGCAGUAGGGAAUCUUCCGCAAUGGGCGAAAGCCUGACGGAGCAACGCCGCGUGAGUGAUGAAGGUCUUCGGAUCGUAAAACUCUGUUAUUAGGGAAGAACAUAUGUGUAAGUAACUGUGCACAUCUUGACGGUACCUAAUCAGAAAGCCACGGCUAACUACGUGCCAGCAGCCGCGGUAAUACGUAGGUGGCAAGCGUUAUCCGGAAUUAUUGGGCGUAAAGCGCGCGUAGGCGGUUUUUUAAGUCUGGUGUGAAAGCCCACGGCUCAACCGUGGAGGGUCAUUGGAAACUGGAAAACUUGAGUGCAGAAGAGGAAAGUGGAAUUCCAUGUGUAGCGGUGAAAUGCGCAGAGAUAUGGAGGAACACCAGUGGCGAAGGCGACUUUCUGGUCUGUAACUGACGCUGAUGUGCGAAAGCGUGGGGAUCAAACAGGAUUAGAUACCCUGGUAGUCCACGCCGUAAACGAUGAGUGCUAAGUGUUAGGGGGUUUCCGCCCCUUAGUGCUGCAGCUAACGCAUUAAGCACUCCGCCUGGGGAGUACGACCGCAAGGUUGAAACUCAAAGGAAUUGACGGGGACCCGCACAAGCGGUGGAGCAUGUGGUUUAAUUCGAAGCAACGCGAAGAACCUUACCAAAUCUUGACAUCCUUUGACAACUCUAGAGAUAGAGCUUUCCCCUUCGGGGGACAAAGUGACAGGUGGUGCAUGGUUGUCGUCAGCUCGUGUCGUGAGAUGUUGGGUUAAGUCCCGCAACGAGCGCAACCCUUAAGCUUAGUUGCCAUCAUUAAGUUGGGCACUCUAAGUUGACUGCCGGUGACAAACCGGAGGAAGGUGGGGAUGACGUCAAAUCAUCAUGCCCCUUAUGAUUUGGGCUACACACGUGCUACAAUGGACAAUACAAAGGGCAGCGAAACCGCGAGGUCAAGCAAAUCCCAUAAAGUUGUUCUCAGUUCGGAUUGUAGUCUGCAACUCGACUACAUGAAGCUGGAAUCGCUAGUAAUCGUAGAUCAGCAUGCUACGGUGAAUACGUUCCCGGGUCU